rnacentral:tRNA from 1 species
AGAGGUGUAAGUUAAGGAUUUAAACUGUGUGGUUCAUGUUCAUAUAAUACGAUUUCGUCUCUUCUU